GGAUGUGAGAGUGAUCAGGCCUCACAACAUCUUGUUACUCCACUGAUUGCUAGGAUUGAUUUGCUUGAUCUGGCUAGCUAGGCGGGUGUUGCCUUCCUCCCUCAUCAUGCCUUCCCAAAGCUGUGCGCUUGAUGGAAGAGAUGACUGUCCCAGAUAGGAAUGUACCAGUGUUUGGUUAAGU
rnacentral:snRNA from 1 species